rnacentral:rRNA from 1 species
UACGUAGGGUGCGAGCGUUAAUCGGAAUUACUGGGCGUAAAGCGUGCGCAGGCGGUUCGUUGUGUCGGUGGUGAAAUCCCCGGGCUUAACCUGGGAAUGGCCAUGGAAACUGGCGAACUGGAGUGCGGCAGAGGGGGGUGGAAUUCCGCGGUGUAGCAGUGAAAUGCGUAGAGAUGCGGAGGAACACCGAUGGCGAAGGCAGCCCCCUGGGCUAACACUGACGCCUCAGGCACGAAAGCGUGGGGAGCAAACAGG